rnacentral:rRNA from 1 species
UCGGGAAUUUUGGGCAAUGGGCGAAAGCCUGACCCAGCAACGCCGCGUGAAGGAUGAAAUCCCUCGGGAUGUAAACUUCGCAAGAAUGGGAAGAAUAAGUUGAAGCAAAUACCUUCAAUGAUGACGGUACCGUUUGUAAGCUCCGGCUAACUCCGUGCCAGCAGCCGCGGUAAUACGGGGGGAGCAAGCGUUGUUCGGAUUUACUGGGCGUAAAGGGCGCGUAGGCGGUCAGCGCAAGUCAGUUGUGAAAUCUCGGGGCUUAACCCCGAGCGGUCAACUGAUACUGCGCGACUAGAGUGCGGAAGGGGCAACUGGAAUUCUCGGUGUAGCGGUGAAAUGCGUAGAUAUCGAGAGGAACACCUGCGGCGAAGGCGGGUUGCUGGGCCGACACUGACGCUGAGGCGCGAAAGCCAGGGGAGCGAACGG